GAUGAAGAACGUAGCGAAAUGCGAUACGUAAUGUGAAUUGCAGAAUUCAGUGAAUCAUCGAGUCUUUGAACGCACAUUGCGCCCCCUGGUAUUCCGGGGGGCAUGCCUGUCCGAGCGUCAUUGCUGCCCUCAAGCCCGGCUUGUGUGUUGGGUCUCGUCCCCCUUCCCGGGGGGACGGGCCCGAAAGGCAGCGGCGGCACCGCGUCCGGUCCUCGAGCGUAUGGGGCUUUGUCACCCGCUCUGUAGGCCCGGCCGGCGCUUGCCGAUCAACCAAAACUUUUUUCCAGGUUGACCUCGGAUCAGGUAGGGAUACCCGCUGAACUUAGGCAUAUCAAUAAGCAGAGGA
rnacentral:misc_RNA from 1 species